UACAGAGGCCUCGAGCGUUAGGCGGAAUCACUGGGCUUAAAGCGUGUGUAGGCGGACUUCUAAGUACCUUGUGAAAUCCCACGGCUCACCCGUGGAACGGCUGGGUAUACUGGUCGUCUUGAGCCUUCUAGGGGCUGCCGGAACAAAUGGUGGAGCGGUGAAAUGCGUAGAUAUCGGUAGGAACACCAGUGGCGAAGGCGGUUUCCUGGAGCCCACUUGACGCUGAGACGCGAAAGCUGGGGGAGCAAACGGG
rnacentral:rRNA from 1 species